UAGAUAAUGAUGAAGCAAAAUAUAUAAUCCAACACUUGAUCUGAUAUAGUGAUGCCAAAUAUAUCUAUUACGUUUCUGAAUCUAC
rfam:Medicago truncatula strain A17 chromosome 5, whole genome shotgun sequence.